rnacentral:rRNA from 1 species
GACGAACGCUGGCGGCGUGCUUAACACAUGCAAGUCGAACGGAAAGGCCCUGCUUUUGUGGGGUGCUCGAGUGGCGAACGGGUGAGUAACACGUGAGUAACCUGCCCUUGACUUUGGGAUAACUUCAGGAAACUGGGGCUAAUACCGGAUAGGAGCUCCUGCUGCAUGGUGGGGGUUGGAAAGUUUCGGCGGUUGGGGAUGGACUCGCGGCUUAUCAGCUUGUUGGUGGGGUAGUGGCUUACCAAGGCUUUGACGGGUAGCCGGCCUGAGAGGGUGACCGGCCACAUUGGUCCUGCGAUACGCCCCAGACUCCUACGGGAGGCAGCAGUGGGGAAUAUUGCACAAUGGGCGGACGCCUGAUGCAGCAACGCCGCGUGCGGAAUGACGGCCUUCGGGUUGUAAACCGCUUUCGCCUGUGACGAAGCGUGAGUGACGGUACUGGGUAAAGAAGCACCGGCUAACUACGUG